GUACUAGUACGCAUGCGUUUUAUUCCGUGCUGACACGUGUCUCGCAGUUCUGCUCCCAGUUGUCUUCUCAUACGGCACGUCAACUACAUCAUCCAGCAUCCAACCUGGCUUCUCCAGCAAAUCAUUGCUGCGCAGACAGCAAAAUGCUGCGGCGCUAUAGGGCAGCUAGUGGUUCUGCUCUAGAUUUGGUUCAACUGCAGAAAUCGGACGUCGAAUCGCCCCAAUGCUGUCAGGCAAAUAGAUUAAGGAGAGUGUUCACGGCUCAUUCGCGCCGCAAGAAGAACAAAUCGAAUUCUACCGGGUUCUCCUUGAAUUUGGUGUUAAAGGAACCGCUACGCUUAGCUAACUCAGUGCCUUUGAACUUUGAUUUAUCAAGGUAAGUCUUUGAUUUUUGUCGUCAACUUAUAUACUUCCUUUAAUUAUCUUUUAACAAAUUUCUACCAAAUUCUAUUAAAGCUUUAUAUUUAAUUUAUAUUACUC
rnacentral:lncRNA from 1 species